CAAAACCCUCUCGGACUUUCUUCUCUUUGAGACGUUUUCGAGAAGAUGAGUGAAAGACGAAGACACAGCUCACCGGCGACACUUUAUCGGAAGAAACUUCUCCAUUACGAGGAACGAGAGUCAGCACAAGUGUUUGCCUCCUUCAGUUCAUUCUCUCUUUUUCCUCUUGUUAACUAGAUCUUUGUUUGAUUAGAUCGGGUGUUUUUUUUUUCUAUUUCUAAAAUUUUGUUGCAUGCCACCGAUGGAUUUGGCAGAUCAAAGAUGUUAUUUGGGGGUUUUUUUUAUGGUUUGCUUUGUUUGAUUAUGUUUUGAGAUGACGAAGGAUUUAAUUUUUAUGAGCUUGUUCGGUUUGAUACUCGUAUAUGACGGAGAUGUAUAAAGUCAGUGUUUUUCUAGUUAAUUCAAAACAAAACAAACACAAUAUUUGUAUACUUUUUGCAAGCGCUAUCUUAGAAAUCAACUUAUGUUAUGGUUAAUUCAAGCUACCUUGUUUGUCAAAGGAUUAAUUUGUUUCCCACGAUGCUUCUCGUUCAUUGAUUUUUAUAUUAUGAGAAAGCUUUCUUAAGGGGGUUAGGACUCUUGUUAAGCUUGUCAAACCGUCAAUGUGUAGCUCUCUAGCUAUUGUGGUUGGUGCCAAUGGAAUUGAUUGUUUCUACUUUGGAAUUGUACUAUUGUAGUAAGAGAGAACUUGGAAAAUGUAAAAAAACAAAAAGUUUGCCAAAACUGAAGAUGAUAUGAAAUUCCUACUAAGUGUGGCACAAAUCAUAGGAGAAGUUCUCUGGCCACUCGAUAAUGAACAUUGUAAGUAAUUUGUCUCUUCCUUUAAAUGUGAAUUACUUUUCAAAAUCUUUUGAAUAUGCAGCUUGUUCGAAGACAAAUUAUGAAUAGAGGCUAGUUUAUGUAUUUUAUAGGUAGACACGUGACUUCACAUUUUGCAAAUAAUUUUAUGAUAAAUUUUUGCUGACUCUUGUGGAUUUUCCUUCAUAUGUGGCUUGUUUGGUAUUACAAUGUUUUUUUGAAAAAUCAUGAAUUAGAUUGACUGGGAACUACAAUUAUUUCAAUAUGUUGUCUUUAUUCAUUGGUAUUUCAAUAUGCAUGACCAAAUUUUUAAAUGGUUAUUUUCUCAUAUCCAAUGAUAAAAAAAUUUCACACAACUAGGAUUGCUAAACAUGGUGAGAUCGACUAUGAGGUAGUUGUUAAGCUUAUUGAAGGUUUUAAUGAAGGAGACCUUUGCAAUGUCUCAUUGAAGCUGGAAUGUUAGUAAUCCGUGCAAAGUGUGAUUAUGUUAUCCAUGAGUAUUUUAUGAAGGUAUGAACUUCAUACUUGAUUAAAUAAAUUAGCUUGUCUCUUUAUUAUGAAUUAUUAUAAAUAAUAUAUUACUCUAUCGACAAUGAUGUAUAAAUAUCCUAUGUAUACUUACUUUGCAACAAGUAUCAAAUUUAUAAAGUAUUUUGUAGCAUGCAUAAAAAAUUUGAUUAUAGCAUACAUUCAAUCAUUAAAAUACUUUGUAGCAAUUAUCAUUAGUCACAUGAGUUUUUAAAGGUAUAUGGUUCAUACAAAGGAAUUAGUCUUUACACUAGAAAGGGUUGCCAGGCUUGGUACAACCACUUCUCAUCUUCAAAAAGGGAAGACAUUUAUACUUUUUCUCAGAGAAUAAGUACUUUGAAAAUUAUAUCUGAAAUCUAUUAUGAGGCUAUAUGAAUUAGUAGAAAAAUAGAUCUUGUUUAUAAAAAAAAUUAACUGUGGUAGAAGCUAAUUUAGUUAAAGUGGAAACUAUAUUAGCCAAUUUUGAUUAUAUUAAAAAUAAUAUGAAAAAGAAUAGAGAACGUAAUGGUGUAAAUGAAUUAUACACUUAUAUGGAAAAAUUAACUUUAGGAAAAAAAAAUUUAGAAAACCAAUUUUUGCAUAUACAACAUAGACAAAAGAAGAAUUAAAUAAACCUGCAAAAUAUAGAAUGAAAUUUCGUAAAGGAGUUUUGAAAUAAAAAUAAAGUAUUUACAUAAUUGUCAGGAUUCAAGAAUAACAGAAUGGUUAAUAAAUUCAUCUGAGUUGGAGAUUUGGUUUAAAUAUUCAAGAAUAUGAGUUUUCUUUAAUCCUUAAUUUAGAUAUUUCUCUUUAGUUUUCUUAUAAAAAAAGUUCAAAGAAUCACCUUGAAUGCUAGGUCAAACCCCUCUCCAAAUCUUGCCUAAGAUGCUGGAGAUUUGGUCAUUUUCUUCCUCAAUCUCACCUUCAAGAAUCACCCCCAAAAAAUUAGAUAGAUAGGAUAGAUGAUGCCCUAGAAAUUUUCUUAAAUUCUAUUUAUACUCGAUUGCUUAUGAGCUGCUUAUAGGUGUAAAGACUAGGCCAUAAGGGAGCUGGAGAAGAUAGUCAAGAGCCUUACGGGAAUGCUUACAGCUGUAAAUCUCAUCUGUAAGGUCUUCUAAAUGUGUUACGGUCCAGCUUAACACUGUAAGGGCUGGACCGUAAGCUUCACUGCCUGUUUCGUGCAACUGUCCUUACAGGCAUGCAUUGUGGUCGUAGGCUCCUCUAGAUGGUACUUACAGGCAUCCUUACGAGUGAAAGCCUUGCCCGUAAGGUCCUCUGAAUUGACUCUGAAUCCUUCUUACGGGCAUAACAUUCUUGCAAGGUCUUCUAGACUAUACUUAUAGCCGUAAGGCUGACCGUAAACUGCCCCUAAGCCACCCAGUUUGGCUUGUCCUUGUUCUAAUAAUGUUGAGAGAGCUCCAACUUCAUCAUUUUUAGUCUAAAAUGCUUUUUUUUGGCUCUCUAUUAUCUUUAAGCACUGCCUUAAGCUUGUUAAUGCAAAACUAACGAUGUUUAGCAUCGAGUUCCACAUUAUGGUUUUAAUACAUUCCAAAUGAGUGUACAAAUAGAUAUGAAAUACAUGAACAACACACACUCAUUAGUUUUAAUGAUUUCUUCAAUAGAAUUGUAUAAUUUAAUUUCAAGUCGAUACUUAAAUUUAUACAAUGUUUAUAAAGAAGAAUUAGAUGUAGUACAAAAGGUUGUCUCUUCAAUAGCUUCCUUCUUUAUAAUGAAUUAUUAGAAAUAAUAUAUUACUCUAUCAAUAAUGAUGUAUAAAUAUCCUAUGUAUCAAAUUUAUAAAGUAUUUUGUAUAAUACCCGAAUUUGUCUCUCUACUUUUCUUUCUCUUCCCUUUCGUUCCCUUCACUCAAAAAUGCUCCCAACCAGUCUAUCUACUCUUGAAAAUUGGCCAACUUAGUUCCUCUACUCGUGUUCUCUUCCCUUUUGGCAAUAUCAUGUAGGGGCUAGUUGGCCUAUUUUUAAUAGUAGAAGGACUAUUUAGGAGAAUUUCUAAGUAGAGGGACCAAAAGGCUGAGAAAGAAAAGUUGAGGGACCAAUUUGGGUAUUAUACCAAAGUAUUUUGUAGUACAUAUAAAAAAUUUGAUUAUAAUACGUAUUGAAUCAUUAAAGUACUUUGUAGCAAUUAUCACUAGUCCGGUUAGUUUUUAAAAAUAUAUAGUUCAUACAGAGGAACGAGUCUUUACACUACAAAAAUGAAGCUUGGCCUAGUCCAGGCAUUUCUCUCAUUCCAUAAAUGGAAGACAUUUGCACUUUUCCUCGGAGAACAAGUACUUUGAAAAUUAUAUCUGAAAUCUAUUAAGAAUCUAUAUAAAUAAAUAGGAAAAAUAGAUCUUAUUUAUAAAAAAGUUAACUAUCGCAGAAGCUAAUUUAGUUAAAGGGGAAACUAUAUUAGCUAGUUUAAAUUAUAUUAAAAAUAAUAUGAAAAAGAAUAGAGAAAGUAAUGAUGUGAAUGAGUAUUAGUUCUAGUUUUCAGUCUUGCAAAACUCUGUACUAUUAAUAAGGUGCCUCCUAAAAUUAGCUCUUUGCUAAUGAGCUUCCAAUCUUUUUCUUGUGUCGUUUUUGUUUAGUAUUAUGUUAUGUUCUCGUGUUAUGGCAAAUGGAUGGCAUGUUCUCAGAUGAAAUCUGUGAUUUAUCUUUCAUAUUCCUUUUGCAUUUCAUUUUUAGUUUUUUUUUUCAUUUGGCACAUGAUAUCUGAAACCUUCUUUGGGCUAUAGUUCUAUUAUAUCACCGGUCGUUUGGCUAGUUCUUUCAAAGUAUAAUGUCAAGUAUCUUUAGAAAAGGAUUUUGUUCAUCACUAGACAAAGUCUGACUCUUCACCAAUUUAUUUUUGAUUUGUUUGUUACUUCUAUUUUCAAACAUCAUAUUUUGUUAUUAAUGUGGCAAAAGUUUGCUGAUGAAUUUGGGGUUCAUAAUCUUUAGAAGGUGGUUUACAUCAAUGCAAUAACAUAAUUUCAUCAAGUCGUUUUCUGAAUAUCUAUUUGUUGUCUGUACUCUUGGUUUGUAGCCACCAAUAAACAUCAAUUGCUUAUGUCUUUUAUACUAAUUUUGUUUUGUAUGAUCUAGAUUUUUGUUUUUGUUUGUGAAGAAUCUGCAAGUUCAUGUUAUGGUACUAAUUGGAUUUGCUAUUGGAGGUAGUCUGGCCAUUCAUUUUGCUAAAAGCAAUUAGAAACUAGUAUUUUGGUACAAUUUCACCUUUGUGAAGUGUUUGUUGUUGAUGUUAUGGUUUCAAUUGGAUUUGCUAUUGAAAGUAAUCUGGCCAUUCUAACUGUUAAGAGCGGUUAGAAUGUAGUAUUUUGUCAGGGUUUGUGUUGCGCGUGUGCUUGCUAUAUUUUGUUUUUUUGAAAUUGAUUUCUGGGCUGUUUUAAAACUUAGUUUUAAUUGAUCUAACUAAUUUGUUUGUGUGUGUGUGUGUGUGUGUGUUGGAAAUUCAUGUGGUGCUUGGUAUUCUCUAAAGAAAAUAUUGUUUCAUCAAAGAUGUUUUUCCUGUGUGGAUGUACUUGUUGGUUUAUAUUUGAGAUGUCCAGGAACACUGGUUCGGGUUACGGUUGGAUUGAAAUUUUUUUAUUUUAUUAAUUAGCUUGUAUUAUUGUUAUACUCUUUAUGGAGGGAUGUUAAUAUUUUAGAUCAAAAAGGGCUCUACUAUAAAACAAUAUGAGGUGGGGCAUGUUUCA